CACAGAAACCAGCGAGUUCAGCCAUGAAAGUCCUGGUGGUCAUGUGCGUUGUCCUGGCCGUUGCGGCUGCCGGCCACCACUCGCACACCGCUGGCGAGCCGAAGAACCAGGGACAGCCGGACGCGCUCCAAUACUGGAUGAAUUUGCUUUCCCCCUACGCCAGAUAUACUAGUGCUUUCUUGAGAAACAUCCCUGGCUUCGCCCCGGGCGGUGACCACCAUCAAGCCUACGGUCAAAACGCCAAUUACGACGCCAGCGUCCUCUUCACUCCUGUUGUUGGCUCGUUUAGCUACUUGGACCUCCGUGGUGUGAACCGGACGGUCAAUUUCUCUGCGGACAGGUCUGGCUUCCACAUAACUGUGGACCCCCACACGGAGGUGACCACCAGCUAUGAAAACAACCACGACUAGCGCGGCGCUCUCUGAGCAAGCCCGCCUGUAAGACGGGGCCGCUCUGGGUAAUGGUAAAGUACCUGCCCUGCCAAGUACCUGCCCUUCGGUGUCCACUGCUUCCGGCGCUCCCGUCACGUUCCAGGGCACGCACGGCCCGGAGGGCGUAUUUUACUCGUAGCGCUCUAUUCACCCCGACCCUUUCCUUACCUUCGCCUGUUUUGGUAAGCGUUCUGUGCGCUGCUCACUUGCGGGCAAAUGCGAAAUUUGCAUCUCUGACUCGCUCCCAAACGUUCUGGUUGUGUUCAUUUGCCGUUACACCAGAGGCCAAGAGUGUUUGGUGCAUUCUCUCAGCUUGAUGCCAUGGUCCGUAUUUACAGCUUACCGAGCUCGGUUGGAACGAGUGGUAUAAAGAUGUGGAUCAUUUUUGACGCCAUACAAAAUAUACUAGGCAGCAGUAGCAUGGUUUAAUUACUGGAGGGUUUGGGUGGGGUAUGAGUGGGGAUAGGGGUGCGGGGCAAGGGUCGAAGAAACGCGUCCUAAGUUUCGCAUGAUAGGGUUGUGUCUCCUACAUUUUUGCCCGUGCACUGCAUAUUUUCACCUACUCCCACUCAAGAUACCGUUUUUGGAUCAGGCUGUCCCCGGAUUCCAGUUUGACCGUCCAGUCUCAGAGAGAUGGCCGCAUCCAUGCUCGAGAGCGCUGUAAUACCGCUUGUAUAAACACUGAAAGCAUUUUCACUGCACAUCGCAAACAGCUGUUUAGCAUCUACAUAUGGUGUCAAAACGAAUGGUCUUUUCGAAAUCACUUUCGGAAAUAUCUGGUGGAGGGCUCACCGUUGGACGUCAAACGCUUCCGUAGAUAUCCGGCUAUGAAACUCCUCGAGCGAAGAGCUCCCAGCAUCGAACGGAAAUUAGAUCAUGCGCUUUUCACAAAACGGCAUACAUCGAAUUCACCUGUGGAGUGAACGACUUCACGAGUUCACUCCAAUAAGGAGUGAACGACGGCCAAAAAGAGCUAAUUGUGAUAUGGAGAGACGCGAGCGUGCAAAGCACGGAGUCUGUCACUCGCGCAAAAGUGGGAUGAGCUUGUGACGCAUACCAUUUCAGUGCCCAACACGGGAUGGGUGCGACACGAUCUCGACCCGACACCAAGUGACUGUGGUCAGGCCACAUGUCGGUGCAGUUCUGACAUAGCAGUACUGGUCGCGGCACCGUAACGGCAUCCACCAGCCUGAACACGCACGUUUUGGAUGGAUGUCGGGAGAAAAACACCACUACAGCUCUAUGUACAGACAACUCCACUGCAAGGCCGGUCAUGACAAGACAGGGAGAUCGCUGCCGGCGAGAAACGAACGAAAGACGUCCAACAGGGCCGAGCGCUGUAUUCCAAGCAUCCCACAGUCUGACAGCGUUCGUGACAGGGAAUGUGACAUGUGACAACGUGACAUGGCUUUAUCCGGCGAUGACGCAUUGAGGAGUAGAUGCAUUCAUUGCAACAGAGCAGAUGCCUUCCUUAAUAUCUGAAAGUGUAGAAUAGUCUCUUCAGUACUGGAAAUGCAGUAUCUCUAUAUAACAAGAAAAACUGAAGAGUAUGGUUAGAACACAGGCCUGCAUCUCACCAAUCGGAGGGAUAUGGAUACAUUCACGGUAUCAACACACUUUAACGUAGAAAACGGACGGCCAUUUGGACAAUUGGAGGCCGGCGUGUUCAAUCGAUCAAGCUAACUCUGGCAUAACGAUCUACCAGUUAUGGAGCGUUUGGUGAAGAAUAUCGCUAACCAGUGUCUCUGGUUAGCGAGGUGCUACAUAUUCUACCUUUCUUCACAUUCUAUUCCCGUAACUAAGGGUUCGCCAAAUGUACUAGCUGCAAUCGGAAAUGAGGUGCGAUCGCGUGCCAGGGAAAUAAUGUGGUUAUUGGCCAAUGACAAGCAAGUACGACAUCAUACGAUGAGCGAAUAAACCAAUCACACACAGCGAGAUCGCGUUUCGAUCCGGGAACUCUCUGAUGCAACAGACGGCUGGUGAGGCACAGAGGGCUUCUUUUUAAAGGAAGCGUCAUAUCACACUAAGGAUGGUAUGCAUAGUUUAGGUUCCGACGGAACAGAUGGCGCAUGGUGGAUGAUCUGCUACCCAGGAGGGUUAGAUACCUCCUACUGCCUAUAUCCUGUCCUAAGACUUUCGAGCAUUCUAGAGAUUGUAUGCCUGACGACAUGUGGAGGUUGGAGAAAAUUACGGGGAUGGUACUGCUGUGAAACAGAUAUUGUUACACCUUGGAUAAUUAUGACCACCACUUGUAGACAUUGUACAAUAUACCGGUCGAGCUUCA
rnacentral:lncRNA from 1 species